GGACUACAAGGGUUUCUAAUCCUGUUUGCUCCCCACGCUUUCGCGCCUCAGCGUCAGUAUCGGGCCAGUGUGUCGCCUUCGCCACUGGUGUUCUGCCGAAUAUCUACGAAUUUCACCUCUACACUCGGCGUUCCACACACCUCUCCCGAACUCAAGACAGCCAGUAUCAAAGGCAGUUCCAAGGUUGAGCCCUGGGCUUUCACCUCUGACUAAACUGUCCGCCUACGCGCCCUUUACGCCCAGUAAUUCCGAGCAACGCUAGCCCCCUUCGUAUUACCGCGGCGGCUGGCAC
rnacentral:rRNA from 1 species